rnacentral:rRNA from 1 species
AUGGGGCCGUCGGUGCCGAGGAAGCGCAGGGUGAACCGCCCGGAGAACGAGGAGGUCGCGGCCUGGCUCUUCUUGAAGCACCGCUCCAUGGCGGAGCAGCAGCCGGGCGGCCUCCCGGAGCACCAGGCCCGCGCGCUCUCCGCCGCCUACCGCUGCGUCUGCGCCACCAACGUGCCCAUCCGGACCUUCGGCGACCUGGCCAGUCUCAGGGGCGUUCACCUCCUGAAAGAUUCCUUGCCAGGGUCCACCCUUGAUUUGCCCCAAGAAAGCCCUCCAACAUUUGUCUCUGUGGCCCCAUCUAACCUGCACCAGCACCUCGGUGAUCUCCUCAAGACCGAGAAGGGCGCGGACCUAAUUUUCGAGGUUGAUGGUCACACUUUCGCAGCACACCGCUGUGUGCUCGCUGCCCGAUCACCGGUCUUCAGUGCGGAGCUCUUUGGCGGUAUGAAGGAGGGCAACACCGCAGGUGCCGUGCGCAUAGAUGAAAUGGAGGCAGAGGUGUUCAAGGCGUUGCUCUGGUUUGUGUAUACCGAUUCCUUGCCGGUGACAGAAGAGGAAGAUGAGGAUGUCAUAUGCCAGCUUCUGCUUGUUGCGGCCGACAGGUAUGGCAUGGAGAGGCUGAAGAGUAUUUGCGAGGAAAAGCUAUGCAAGUUCAUCAACGCAGCCACAAUAGCGACCAUCCUGACGCUAGCUGAGCAGCACCACUGUGAUGGCCUAAAGAAGGCAUGCUCAAGGUUUCUUGGCUUCCCGGCAAAUCUUAGGGCUUUGUUGGACAGUGACGGCUUCGAUCAUCUCAGCAGGAGCUGCCCUUCCGUUGCUCAAAAUCUGGUUUAUUCGGCCCUUGUUUGGUGGGAUUGA